UUAGUGGCGGACGGGUGAGUAACGCGUGAGAAUCUGCCCUCAGGAGGGGGAUAACAGUUGGAAACGACUGCUAAUACCCCAUAUGCCGAGAGGUGAAACGAAUUUUGCCUGGGGAUGAGCUCGCGUCUGAUUAGCUUGUUGGUGGGGUAAAAGCCUACCAAGGCUUCGAUCAGUAGCUGGUCUGAGAGGACGAUCAGCCACACUGGGACUGAGAUACGGCCCAGACUCCUACGGGAGGCAGCAGUGGGGAAUUUUCCGCAAUGGGCGCAAGCCUGACGGAGCAACGCCGCGUGAGGGAUGAAGGCCUUUGGGCUGUAAACCUCUUUUCUCAAGGAAGAAGAUCUGACGGUACUUGAGGAAUAAGCCACGGCUAAUUCCGUGCCAGCAGCCGCGGUAAUACGGGAGUGGCAAGCGUUAUCCGGAAUUAUUGGGCGUAAAGCGUCCGCAGGCGGCCGUUUAAGUCUGUUGUUAAAUCGUGGAGCUCAACUCCAUCACGGCAAUGGAAACUGUUCGGCUUGAGUAUGGUAGGGCAGAGGGAAUUUCCCGGGUGUAGCGGUGAAAUGCGUA
rnacentral:rRNA from 1 species